rnacentral:rRNA from 1 species
GACAGAGGGUGCUAGCGUUGUUCGGAAUUACUGGGCGUAAAGGGCGCGUAGGCGGCCAUGUAAGUCGGAUGUGAAAUCCCGGGGCUCAACCCCGGAACUGCAUUCGAUACUGUGUGGCUAGAGACCGGAAGAGGUGGGUGGAAUACCCAGUGUAGAGGUGAAAUUCGUAGAUAUUGGGUGGAACACCGGUGGCGAAGGCGGCUCACUGGUCCGGUUCUGACGCUGAGGCGCGAAAGCGUGGGGAGCAAACAGG